AUGGAUAAUCAGGUGUCUCUAACAUGUGCUAGCAUAUAUUGUUUGCAUCUCAAGAUGACCCGGUACACAAAUUUUCUUUCUCUGCGGUACGAUGAUCUUAAUAGAUCAGUAACCUUUAUGAGAAACAAUAUGUUUGUUAUUUUGAUUAUCAUGAUGAUCAUCACUUUGUCAGGUACCAAUGUAUCUUUUGGACGUUGUAUGUUUGUUAUUUUGUCAGUAUUAUAUAUAUUCUUGAACUUUAUUAUUGCUCACUAUGAUACAUAUAAAUUCACUCGGUACAAAAAUAGUAGUCUUGAAAAUUUUGAGCACGCUGUUGCCUGGGUUGAUGAUUAG
rnacentral:rRNA from 1 species